GACAGAGGGUGCAAACGUUGCUCGGAAUUACUGGGCGUAAAGCGCGUGUAGGCGGACCUGCAAGUCGGACGUGAAAGCCCUGGGCUCAACCCAGGAACUGCAUCCGAAACUGCGGGCCUGGAGUGGUGGAGAGGGAAGCAGAAUUCCUGGUGUAGCGGUGGAAUGCGCAGAUAUCAGGAGGAACACCGGUGGCGAAGGCGGGUCUCUGGGCAGUAACUGACGCUGAGGAGCGAAAGCGUGGGGAGCGAACAGG
rnacentral:rRNA from 1 species